GGAGAGGUCGGUCUGUACUGCAAGCAGCUCUGUGCAGGAGGGAGACCGAUUCUGGGUCCCAGAGAUGAAUGUGUUUUGGUAGAAAAUGCAAAUCACAGCCAGAACAAAAGCCAAAGACAAUGUGAGGAAAAUGCCAGAAGGAGCUGGGAUCUCCUGCCAUGGCUGUGACUGGCUGCUUCGUCAUCCCCCGCCACACCCUGCUGAGGAGAAAGGACAACCACCUGACCUUCACGCUCAGCCCAG